CGGCCAGACUCCUACGGGAGGCAGCAGUGGGGAAUAUUGCACAAUGGGGGAAACCCUGAUGCAGCGACGCCGCGUGAGUGAAGAAGUAUUUCGGUAUGUAAAGCUCUAUCAGCAGGGAAGAAAAUGACGGUACCUGAUUAAGAAGCCCCGGCUAACUACGUGCCAGCAGCCGCGGUAAUACGUAGGGGGCGAGCGUUAUCCGGAAUUACUGGGUGUAAAGGGAGCGUAGACGGCGAGGUAAGCCUGAAGUGGAAGCCCGCGGCCCAACCGCGGAACUGCUUUGGGAACUGUUUUGCUGGAGUAUGGGAGGGGUAAGCGGAAUUCCUGGUGUAGCGGUGAAAUGCGUAGAUAUCAGGAGGAACACCGGUGGCGAAGGCGGCUUACUGGACCAUAACUGACGUUGAGGCUCGAAAGCGCGGGGAGCAAACAGGAUUAGAUACCCUAGUA
rnacentral:rRNA from 1 species